AUUGAACGCUGGCGGCAUGCUUUACACAUGCAAGUCGGACGGCAGCACAGAGAAGCUUGCUUCUUGGGUGGCGAGUGGCGAACGGGUGAGUAAUAUAUCGGAACGUACCGAGUAAUGGGGGAUAACUAAUCGAAAGAUUAGCUAAUACCGCAUAUUCUCUGAGGAGGAAAGCAGGGGACCUUCGGGCCUUGCGUUAUUCGAGCGGCCGAUAUCUGAUUAGCUAGUUGGUGGGGUAAAGGCCUACCAAGGCGACGAUCAGUAGCGGGUCUGAGAGGAUGAUCCGCCACACUGGGACUGAGACACGGCCCAGACUCCUACGGGAGGCAGCAGUGGGGAAUUUUGGACAAUGGGCGCAAGCCUGAUCCAGCCAUGCCGCGUGUCUGAAGAAGGCCUUCGGGUUGUAAAGAACUUUUGUCAGGGAAGAAAAGGCUGUUGCUAAUAUCAAUAGCUGAUGACGGUACCUGAAGAAUAAGCACCGGCUAACUACGUG
rnacentral:rRNA from 1 species